rnacentral:hammerhead_ribozyme from 1 species
AUUUAGCCGACGAGUCCCAAAUAGGACGAAACGCGCAUCAAACUGGAU